rnacentral:rRNA from 1 species
GACGAACGCUGGCGGCGUGCUUAACACAUGCAAGUCGAACGGAAAGGCCCUGCUUUUGUGGGGUGCUCGAGCGGCGAACGGGUGAGUAACACGUGAGUAACCUGCCCUUGACUUUGGGAUAACUUCAGGAAACUGGGGCUAAUACCGGAUAGGAGCUCCUGCUGCAUGGUGGGGGUUGGAAAGUUUCGGCGGUUGGGGAUGGACUCGCGGCUUAUCAGCUUGUUGGUGGGGUAGUGGCUUACCAAGGCUUUGACGGGUAGCCGGCCUGAGAGGGUGACCGGCCACAAUGGGACUGAGAUACGGCCCAGACGCCUACGGGAGGCAGCAGUGGGGAAUAUUGCACAAUGGGCGGAAGCCUGAUGCAGCAACGCCGCGUGCGGGAUGACGGCCUUCGGGUUGUAAACCGCUUUCGCCUGUGACGAAGCGUGAGUGACGGUAAUGGGUAAAGAAGCACCGGCUAACUACGUG